AACGAACGCUGGCGGCAUGCCUAACACAUGCAAGUCGAACGAGACCUUCGGGCCUAGUGGCGCACGGGUGCGUAACGCGUGGGAACCUGCCCUUAGGUUCGGAAUAACUCCCCGAAAGGGGUGCUAAUACCGGAUAAUGUCUUCGGACCAAAGAUUUAUCGCCUUUGGAUGGGCCCGCGUUGGAUUAGCUAGUUGGUAGGGUAAAAGCCUACCAAGGCGACGAUCCAUAGCUGGUCUGAGAGGAUGAUCAGCCACACUGGGACUGAGACACGGCCCAGACUCCUACGGGAGGCAGCAGUGGGGAAUAUUGGACAAUGGGCGAAAGCCUGAUCCAGCAAUGCCGCGUGAGUGAUGAAGGCCGUAGGGUUGUAAAGCUCUUUUACCCGGGAUGAUAAUGACAGUACCGGGAGAAUAAGCACCGGCUAACUCCGUG
rnacentral:rRNA from 1 species